rnacentral:rRNA from 1 species
GACGAACGCUGGCGGCGUGCCUAAUACAUGCAAGUAGAACGCUGAAGCUUGGUGCUUGCACCGGGCGGAUGAGUUGCGAACGGGUGAGUAACGCGUAGGUAACCUGCCUGGUAGCGGGGGAUAACUAUUGGAAACGAUAGCUAAUACCGCAUAACAGUAGAUAUCGCAUGAUAUGUGCUUGAAAGGUGCAAUUGCAUCACUACCAGAUGGACCUGCGUUGUAUUAGCUAGUUGGUGAGGUAACGGCUCACCAAGGCAACGAUAUAUAGCCGACCUGAGAGGGUGAUCGGCCACACUGGGACUGAGACACGGCCCAGACUCCUACGGGAGGCAGCAGUAGGGAAUCUUCGGCAAUGGACGGAAGUCUGACCGAGCAACGCCGCGUGAGUGAAGAAGGUUUUCGGAUCGUAAAGCUCUGUUGUAAGAGAAGAACGAGUGUGAGAGUGGAAAGUUCACACUGUGACGGUAUCUUACCAGAAAGGGACGGCUAACUACGUGC